UGGCGGCGUGCCUAACACAUGCAAGUCGAACGAGAAAGUGGAGCAAUCCAUGAGUAAAGUGGCGACCGGGUGAGUAACACGUGACUAACCUACCUUCGAGUGGGGGAUAACCUCGGGAAACCGAGGCUAAUACCGCAUAACAUCGCAAGAUCAAAGCAGCAAUGCGCUGGAAGAGGGGGUCGCGGCUGAUUAGCCAGUUGGCGGGGUAACGGCCCACCAAAGCGAAGAUCGGUAGCCGGCCUGAGAGGGCGCACGGCCACACUGGAACUGAAACACGGUCCAGACUCCUACGGGAGGCAGCAGUGGGGAAUUUUGCGCAAUGGGGGAAACCCUGACGCAGCAACGCCGCGUGGAGGAUGAAGCCCCUUGGGGCGUAAACUCCUUUCGACCAAGACGAUAAUGACGGUACUGGUGGAAGAAGCACCGGCUAACUCUGUGCCAGCAGCCGCGGUAAUACAGAGGGUGCGAGCGUUGUUCGGAAUUAUUGGGCGUAAAGGGCGCGUAGGCGGUGCCACAAGUCACCUGUGAAAUCUCUGGGCUUAACUCAGAGCUUGCAGGCGAAACUGUGGUGCUGGAGUAUGGGAGAGGUGCGUGGAAUUCCCGGUGUAACGGUGAAAUGCGUA
rnacentral:rRNA from 1 species